AUGCUGCCUUUGAGCCCCCGCUGCGCCUGCCUGUGGUGUCUGGGGUCAGGCUGCAGCGCCAGAGCAGGAGCUUGCGCAUAACUGGGGCCAACUGCUCCGCGGCUGGCGGCCUUUUUUAACCAUGAGCGACAUGG